AGCUCCAAUAGCGUAUAUUAAAGUUGUUGCAGUUAAAAAGCUCGUAGUUGGAGUUCAGAGUGAGCUCAGACGGUCGGCCUUAUGGGUCAGAACUGGUUGACUCUCUCUUGUUUGUGGAUCCCGCCCGGAGUUAAUUCUUCGGAUGUGGACUCCACAUCGUUUACCUUGAAAAAUUAGAGUGUUCAAAGCAGGCGUUUUUAUGAAAGAUGAACUUCUGCGAAAGCAUUUGCCAAGGAUGUUUUCAUUAAUC
rnacentral:rRNA from 1 species